UCCGGUUUGUCACCGGCAGUCUCGCAUGAGUCCCCAGCUUUACCUGCUGGCAACAUGCGACGAGGGUUGCGCUCGUUGCGGGACUUGACCCAACAUCUCACGACACGAGCUGACGACAGCCAUGCAGCACCUGUGUCCAGGUUCCCUUUCGGGCACACCCCCAUCUCUGGAGGCUUCCUGGCAUGUCAAGGGUAGGUAAGGUUUUUCGUGUUGCAUCGAAUUAAUCCACAUAAUCCACCGCUUGUGCGGGUCCCCGUCAAUUCCUUUGAGUUUUAAUCUUGCGACCGUACUCCCCAGGCGGGAUGCUUAAUGCGUUAGCUGCGCCACUGACAGGCAAGCCUGCCAACGGCUAGCAUCCAUCGUUUACGGCGUGGACUAC
rnacentral:misc_RNA from 1 species